rnacentral:rRNA from 1 species
AUACGUAGGGGGCGAGCGUUGUCCGGAAUGAUUGGGCGUAAAGGGCGCGUAGGCGGCCGCUUAAGUCUGGAGUGAAAGUCCUGUUUUCAAGAUGGGAACUGAUUUGGAUACUGGGGGGCUUGAGUGCAGGAGAGGUUAUCGGAAUUCCCGGUGUAGCGGUGAAAUGCGUAGAGAUCGGGAGGAACACCAGUGGCGAAGGCGGGUAACUGGACUGCAACUGACGCUGAGGCGCGAAAGUGUGGGGAGCAAACAGGAUUAGAUACCCUGGUGGUCCACACUGUAAACGAUGAAUGCUAGGUGUAAGAGGUAUCGACCCCUUUUGUGCCGGAGUUAACACAAUAAGCAUUCCGCCUGGGGAGUACGGCCGCAAGGUUGAAACUCAAAUGAAUUGACGGG